CCUUACCUAGCCUUGACAUUGAUAGAAACAUUUUAGAGAUAAGAUGGUGCCCUUCGGGGAGCUUGAAAACAGGUGCUGCACGGCUGUCGUCAGCUCGUGUCGUGAGAUGUUGGGUUAAGUCCCGCAACGAGCGCAACCCUCGUCACUAGUUACUAACGAUUCGGUCGAGGACUCUAGUGAGACUGCCUUCGUAAGGAGGAGGAAGGUGAGGACGACGUCAAGUCAUCAUGGCCCUUACGGCUAGGGCUACACACGUGCUACAAUGGUUAGGACAGUGAGAAGCGAUACCGCGAGGUGGAGCAAAUCUAUAAACCUAAUCUCAGUUCGGAUUGUUCUCUGCAACUCGAGAACAUGAAGCUGGAAUCACUAGUAAUCGUAGAUCAGCAAUGCUACGGUGAAUACGUUCCCGGGUCUUGUACUCACCGCCCGUCACACCAUGGGAGUUGAUUUCACCCGAAGCGGGGAAGCUAAACUGGCUACCCUCCACGGUGGAAUUAGCGACUGGGGUGAAGUCGUAACAAGGUA
rnacentral:rRNA from 1 species